rnacentral:lncRNA from 10 species
AGCGGUACAUGGAAGACCUGGGCGGGCAGGCGUCCUUACUACGCGGAUCAUGUUGCGGCUGAAGUCGCGAACCGAGACGUAGCUGGGUGUCCCGACCCUGCAUACAGCAGUAGAAGACCUGGGUGACCGUCAGUACCCUGUGAAUUGAGGCACUCCUGAAGCCAUGCGCUGAGACCUGGCUGGGUGUCGCUACCCUGCUGACGGCUGCGGAGGACCUUGGUGGGCAUCAGUACCCUGCGGAUUGUAGGGAUGCUGAAGCUGCGCACUGAGACCUAGCUGCGUAUCUCCCCUGCGGAAGGCUGCGGAGGACUUGGGUGGGCGUCAAUACCCUGAGGAUUGUGGCACUCUUUCCGCAGUUCCCUGCUCUAGGCUGCGGAGGACCCGGGUGGGCGUCAAUACCCUGAAGAUUGCGGCACUCCUUCCGCAGUCCCUUGCUCUUGGCUGCGGAGGACCCGGGUGGGCGUCAAUACCCUGAAGAUUGCGGCACUCGUUCCGCAGUCCCUUGCUCUAGGCUGCGGAGGACCCGGGUGGGCGUCAAUACUCUGCGGAUCGCGGGGAUGCUGAAGCUGCGCGCUGAGACCUAGCUGGGUAUCUCCCCUGCGGAAGGCUGCGGAGGACCUGGGUGAGCGUCAGUACCCUGAGGAUUGUGGCACUCCUGCAGCUGCGCAGAGACCUAGCUGGGUGUCCUCCCCUGGAGAAGGCUGCGGAGGACCAGCGUGGGCAUCAGUACCCUGCGCGUCACGGGGAUGCUGAAGCCGCGCACUGAGACCUAGCUGGGUGUUCCUACCCUGUGGAAGGCUGCAGAGACCCGGGCGGGUGUCAGUACCCUGUGGAUUGCGGCACUCCUGCAGCUGUGCAGAGACCUAGCUGGGUGUCUCCCUUGCAGAAGGCUGUGGGGGACCCGGGCGGGGGUCAGUACCCUGUAGACUGCGGCACUCCUGCAGCUGCGCACUGAGACCUAGCUGAGUGUCUUCCCUGCGGACGGCUGCGGAGGAUCUGGGCGAACGUCAUUACUUUGUGGAUCCCGGGAUACUGAAGCAGCUGAGACCUAGCUGUGCGUCGUCCCCUGUGGAAGGCUGUGGAGAACCCGGGUGGGCUUCAGUACCCUGAGGAUUGCGGCACUCCUGCAGCUGCUCGCUGAGACCUGUCUCCCCUGCGGAAGGCUGCGGAGAACUCUGGAGGGCGUCAGUAGCCUGCGGAUUGCGGCACUACUGCAGUUGCGCAGAGACCUCGCUGGGUGUCUCCCUUGCAGAACGCUGCGGAAGAUUCAGGAGAGCGUCAGUACCCUGCGGACUGCGGCACUCCUGCAGCUGCGCAGAGACCUAGCUGGGUGUCUCCCCUGCGGAAGGCUGCGCAGGAUCACGGAGGGCGUCAGUACCCUGCGGACUGCGGCACUCCUGCAGCUGCGCACUGAGACCUAGCUGAGUGUCUUACCCUGCGGUGGCGACGGAGAACCCCGGUGGGCGUGUUUACCCUGUGAAUGGCCUAGCGCUGCUAAAGCCCCGCACUGAGACGUAGCUGGGUGUCCUCCCCUGUGCACGGCUGUGGAGGAUCUGGGCGGACGUUGUUACUUUGUGGAUCGCGGGAAUGCUGUAGCUGCGCACUGAGACCUACCUGGGUGUCCUCCCCUGUGCACGGCUGCGGAGGAUCUGGGCGGGCGUCAUUACUUUGUGGAUCGCGGGAUUGCUGCAGCUGCGCACUUACAUCUAGCUGGUGUCUUCCCCUGCGGACAGCUGCGGAGGACCUGGGUGGGCGUCAUUACUUUGUGCAUAGCAGGAAUGCCGCAGCUGCGCACUGAGACCUAGCUGGUGUCGUCCUCUGCGGACGGCUGCAGAGGAUGAGAGGAGGGAGGAGGCGUCGUUACUUUGUGCAUCGCGGGGAUGCUGAAGCCAUGCACUGAGACCUAACUGGGUGUCCCCACCCAGUGGACGGCUGCGGAGAACCCGGGCGGGCGUCAUUAUACUGCGGGGGCGGGCGUCAUUAUACUGUGGAAGGUGGUGCUGCGGGAACUGUACAGAGACCUAGCCGGGUGUUCCUGCCCUGCGGAUGGCAGCGGAGAACCCUGGGGGGCGUUUUUAGCCUGCGGAUCGCCUGGUGCUGCUGAAGCCGCGCUUGAAGACCUAGCUGAGUGUCCUCCCCUGCGGAAGCCUGCGGAGGACCUGGGCGGACUCUUUACCCUGUGGAUUGCGCCGCUGCUGAAGCCGCGCACGGAGACCUAGCUGGGUGUCUUCCCCUGUGGUAGGCUGCGGAGGAUCUGGGUGGCUCUGGAGAUCGCAGGAAUGCUGAAGCCUCGCGCUGAGAUCUAGGCUGAGUGUUCUCCGCUGUGGAUGGCUGCGGAUGACCCGGGCGAGCUCUUUACCCCGCUGAUCUCAGCGCUGCUGAAUCCCCUGCACUGAGACCUAGCUGAGCGUUCCCUACCCUGCAGAUAGCUGUGGAGGACCCCGGCAGGCGUCCUUACCCUGCGGAUUGCCUGGUGCUGCUGAAGCCGGCACUGAGAGCUACCUGGGUGACACUACCCUGCGGUUGGCUGCGGAGGACCUGGUGAGCGUCUUUACUGUGCGGACUGCGGCAAGGGUGCGACUGCGUAUGUUGGUGGGCAUCCUUAUCCUUCAGACGGCGGCAAUUCUGCAGCUGCUCAUUGAGGACAUGAGCUGGCAUCUUUCCCGGUAGGACUGCGGCACGUCUGUAGCCACGCACUAAGGACCUGGGUAGGCGUCAUGACCCUGGGAGCAGCGGCACAGCUGCGACUGCGUAUGGAGGACCCAGGCAGGCUCCUCACUCUGCCGACUGCAGCGCGCCUGUGGUUGUGCACCAAGGACCCACCCAGACAGGCGUUCUUACCCUGUGGACAGCGGCACAGCUGGGGCUGUGCACCCCAAGAUCCAGCUGGGCAUUCUUAUCCUGCCGACUGUGGCACGUCUGUGGCCAGGAGUUUUUAUGGUGUGGACAGCAGCACAGCUGCGGCUGCACACUACGGACCCAGACGGGCGUUCUUGCCUUGUAGACUGUGGCAGGGCGGUGGCGGGGCACCCACGAUGCAGGCGAGUGUAUUACCCUGCGACUGGCAACACAGGCUGCGCAGCCAGGACUCAGGCGGGAGUCCUUACUCUGGGGGAGUCCUUACCCUACGGACUGUGGCACAACUGUGGCUGGCACAAGAACCCAGGUGGGCGUCCUUACCCUGCAGACAGUGGCAGGGCUGCGCAUGGCGGACUCGGGUGAGCCGUCUCAUCCUGUGGACCGUGUUACUGUUGCGGCUGUGCACUCAGGACCUGGUGGGGAUGGGGUGUGUGUGUUCCUCUUCUGCUGACUGUGACUCCGUGCCAGCUGCACGGAGGACCAGGGCAGGUGUCUUUGCUUUGUCAACGACAGCACUGCUGCAGCAGUGCACGAGAACCAGACCUGGAGCCGGGUAGAGGAGGUCCCUCCCCUUCUGACUGCAACACAGCUCCACCUGCAACCUGAGACCUGGGUGAGCAUCUUUGCCCUGCCCCGUGCCAUUGUUCUGGCUAUACACCAGCGACCUGGACAGGUUUUCACAUCUCUAUGCUGGAUGGGCUGGCCCAGCCGGUUGUGCACUGUGAGGUGCUGCAGGAGGAGCUGCGAGGACACAUUCUUCUUGACUUCUCAGCAUAGGAAUGUCUCACGUCCAGUCCACGUCCCUGUCCUAGUCCUCCUCUCUGCUCCUUCCACACUUCCUCACGGUGGUCUCCUGCACGCUCGUGGCUGUCAGUAUCAGACGAGGGCAGCUUCUGCAUUUUCUCAAUUCCAACCACUCCUCUCCACUUACCUACCCAGUAUCUCUACUGGGUGUCUUCCAGUCAUCCUGCACUCAACGCGACUGACAAUUUACUUCCAACCGGCUUUACAAUUUCCCUGACUUUGUUGAUGGCAACUUUUUCCUUCCAGUUGCUUAAGCCAGAUACGUUGGAGUCAUUCUUUACCAUUCUGUUCAACUUCAUACCUAUUCCUCAAGAAUUCUGGUUUCUCUAUCUCUAAAAUGUAUUUGGAAGCAGCUACUUCUUACCUUCUUUUCACGGAUUCAGGUCACCAUUCACACUCACUUGGAUUAUUGCAAUAAUUUCCUAACUGGGUUCCAUGUUUCCAGCUUUUCUGUCUGCAGUCUGUUUUGUUUUCAACAUGUGGCCAGAGGGAUCCUGUUAACAUCUAAGUGAAAUAUAUCAUUUCUCUGCAGUGGCUCCCUAGCUGCUCAGAGUAAAAUCUAAUGUUUUUACAAUGGCCUGAAAGGCUCUCCAUAACCUUAUCCCCUCCCACUUACCUCCCUGUCUCCUCUCCUCCCUCCGACACUCAGCCCCUGUGUAUUUUAGCUAUUGAAAGAAUAUGUGGGCACACUGCUAAUUUAUUGUCUUUGUGGAGGCUUGGUUUGUGCAUUCCUUAUUUCAAACACUUAUGGGUGGACUCUGGUAAUGAGCAGUCAUAUUUAUGAGUCCCCCUCCAAGUGAGGAGAUGUACUAGGUGGAAUGUGCGCCCUCCCUCACGUGGUAUACUCUUGAUACAGAGCCAAGCAGGUAGUACCGUUGGUCCUGCUUUGUAGGUGAGGGAAAGCAGACCCAAAAUGAAGGAAGUUGUCCAGGGUUACAUGCUGGGAAGUGGUGGAGGUAGAAUUCAAACCCGGAGCGCAGGCGUUGUCUGCACCUCGGAGAGGCACCGCUCUUCCUGAAAUGCUCCUCCCUGGUUAUCUAUGAGGCUGAAGUCCUCACCUCUUUCAGGUCUUUGCUGAAUUAGAACCUUCUCCAUAAGGCAAGGCUGAUGCUGAGCACCCCACUGAAAAUUUUCCUCUCUCCCAAGACCCUCUUCUCAGUCCCUCUACUUGGCUCAUUUCAGGUGUCUAGCACGUCACGCCCUUUAAUACAUUUUGCAAGUAUUUCUCCACGAGUGUGAGAAAGUGGUUUUCUUUGGUGGGGGUUGAUUUUUCAUGGCACAUAAAGGGCAGCAGGGUUUCUUUGGGUCCUGUCUGGAGGCCUGAAGGUCACGCUGGGCUUCUGGGGAGCGGGUCCCCUUCCUGCAGCCUCCCUCUCCACUUGCGUGUUUCUCACUCCUCUCUCUCCCUGGGAAGUGUUGCUUGAUAAAGAUGCAGCUUUUAAUUAAUGUAACUGUUCAAGAUUACAGCCGGUCAUCAGCUUUCUAACCAGUGCCUCACAGCUCUGCUGGAAGAGCCUUGCUCCGGUGAUGGUUGAUUUGCCAUUCUCUGUCCCAGCCCAGAGAAGCUCCCCUCACUGUCAACGUGCCAUCUGUCAGGUGCAUGUUAUAAAGCUGUCAUCAUGAUCAGCUCAUUCACGCACCAGCUUUAGCUUUGAGGAACUGCCGGCCAUGGCGUUGAAGACCUGCUGAAGCCUCCAGCCAGACAUCUGAUGUUCAGGUCUCAGGGGGUCCUUGCUGCUUGUGUAGCCUGACAGGUGUGGCCACGGCAGGCACACCAUGGUUUGGAGUUUGGAAAGAAGAGACCCUGUGUUAUUGUAGAGUGACCACUGGAUUGGGCUUCUGGAAAUCCAAUUCUAAUCAGACUUGGGUUAUGCAUUUACUAUUUCAAUAAAACAUUUAUGGAUGGACUCUGGUAAUCAACAGCCAUAUUUUUGAGUACCCACUGCAGGUGAGGAAAUAAAUGUACUAGGUGCGAUAUA